rnacentral:lncRNA from 10 species
AAUGGAUCCAUUUCAAAAAUCUCUUAAUAAAUUUUACAAAAACUCACCAUGGUGUAAAUGUGCCAUCAUUCUUUGCCUGGCCAAGUUCCUGUGUGUCACCUUGGUGAGGUGCUGCAGCACAACAGAAAGCAGAAGGUCUGUGAUAAGCUGCAUAGGGGUUCACAUCCUGGCUCAGUCAGUUACUCGCUGGGAAAAUUACUUCUCUAGUCCUCAGUUUCCUCAUUUAUUAUUAUUAUUAUUAUU